rnacentral:rRNA from 1 species
GGGCUGCAGUAUUUUGACUGUACAAAGGUAGCAUAAUCAAUAGUCUCUUAAUUGGUGACUUGUAUGAAAGAUUGGAUGAAAUAUAUACUGUCUCUAAUUAAUUUAUAGAAAUUAAUUUUUUAGUAAAAAAGCUAAAAUAAUUUUAAAAGACGAGAAGACCCUAUAGAGUUUAAUAAUUUAUUUAAUUAUAUUUAUUAUAUAAUUUUUAAAAUUAAAAUUAAAUGAAUUAUUUUGUUGGGGUGAUAGAAAAAUUAAAUUAACUUUUUUUAAUUGUUAACAUUGAUUUAUGAAUAAAUGAUCCAUUAAUAAUGAUUAAAAGAAAAAAUUACCUUAGGGAUAACAGCGUAAUUUUUUUUUUUAGUUCAAAUAGGAAAAAAAGUUUGCGACCUCGAUGUUGGAUUAA